GUGGGGAAUCUUCCGCAAUGGACGAAAGUCUGACGGAGCAACGCCGCGUGAGUGAUGACGGCCUUCGGGUUGUAAAGCUCUGUGAUCGGGGACGAAUGGCUGGUAUGCUAAUACCAUAUCAGAGUGACGGUACCCGAAUAGCAAGCCACGGCUAACUACGUGCCAGCAGCCGCGGUAAUACGUAGGUGGCAAGCGUUGUCCGGAAUUAUUGGGCGUAAAGCGCGCGCAGGCGGCUUCUUAAGUCCAUCUUAAAAGUGCGGGGCUUAACCCCGUAAUGGGAUGGAAACUGGGAGGCUGGAGUAUCGGAGAGGAAAGUGGAAUUCCUAGUGUAGCGGUGAAAUGCGUAGAGAUUAGGAAGAACACCGGUGGCGAAGGCGACUUUCUGGACGACAACUGACGCUGAGGCGCGAAAGCGUGGGGAGCAAACAGGAUUAGAUACCCCGGUAGUCC
rnacentral:rRNA from 1 species